CUGCCCCCAUAGUGUUUUUUAUGUAGCCUGUUAUAAAACUAGGCAAAUAUCAAGAUGAGUCAAUGUACCCCCAGGAAGACAGCUGUGUACCCCUGGGGUAUGGGCACCUGG